UACGUAGGGGGCAAGCGUUGUCCGGAAUCAUUGGGCGUAAAGAGCGUGUAGGCGGUCCGGCAAGUCGGCUGUGAAAGUCCAGGGCUCAACCCUGGGAUGCCGGUCGAUACUGCCGGACUAGAGUUCGGAAGAGGCGAGUGGAAUUCCCGGUGUAGCGGUGAAAUGCGCAGAUAUCGGGAGGAACACCUAUGGCGAAGGCAGCUCGCUGGGACGUUACUGACGCUGAGGCGCGAAAGCGUGGGGAGCAAACAGG
rnacentral:rRNA from 1 species